AUUUCAGUUGACCUCUCUCUCUCUCUCUCUCUCUCUCUCUCUCUCUCCGUGCAUCUCUUCGUCGAACAAAUUGGAGCUCUGAUUCUUUAGCUGAGCAAAACAAAUCUCACCACAGAGCUCCUAUCUGUCUAUAGCCUUUUCUUAUCCAGAUAGAAAUUAGAUGCUAUGCCAGAUGGUCUUUGGGCUUAAAGCUGAGCAAAACAAAUCUCACCACAGAUUGGGUUGGUUUCUUUUUUAUGAGUUUCAGAUCUGUGAUUUCAGGUAAAAUGGUAAUGUGAAAGGUACAUGACCAUUUUUAAGAACAGGGACAUGGCGAGCACGCCCAGCACGCCAAGGAACACGGCGACCAUUAAUCCAUUCAAAACGGUAAUAUUUUCAGUGAAGAAUAUAAAGAAGGGGUUAUCUAAAUGCAAAAGCAAGCAGCUCAGUGCCCCACAAGUUUGAAUUCAGGUGAUUCUAAAUCUGAAAUUACCUUUAAGAUGUAUUGGACAAACUGCCAGGACCUUGAUCAAGGAUGAGGGUUUUGGUUCAUUGUAUAAGCUGGACAAGCUGCAGAGUCAUGUUCUACGGUAUUCUGUUUUGAAGUUUGCUCCUCUCUUAGGUAAAAUCCAUCUUCAAUACUUAUAAUUUAGUGUUGCUUUUUAUCUCAGAAUUGAAGAAAAUACCAUUAUUUGGGAAAUAACAGCUAGCUGGUAUGUAAUAUAGUAAGAAGAGUUAAAGGGAGCUGCAUCUGUUUGAAAUGAGAUCAGUUUGAAAGAACUUUAAUGAAGUAACUAAUAGAGUUAGUUAAUUUCAACUAUCUAGAAUUUGUACAAGUAUUUUGUUUUUUUGACCUUGAUUAUGAUGACUUUCUUAUGUGUUAGUUACUUGUAGUGUUGCUGGAAACUGGAAGGUCACUGGACUAAUGUUUUGGAGAAAAUGAAGAGGAUGAAAGAUUUCAGGGCAAAGCUCGUUGAAGAGGCAUAUCAGUGAGUACUCAUCUUCAGUCAUACAAGUAACUUUGUGUGACAAGCUUCCAAUAAUAGUCGAGCAAAAUUAAAAUCUUUUUAGUGGAUGAUCUUUAACAAAUUACAGGGGUGUAUUUUACUAGCAAAAACAAUGGCAUACUUUGUACCAGGAUUGAUAAUGUUGAAGGCAUAGAUGACUUCCCAGGUGUCUUGGUAUGGAGGAUUUAAAUUGAUGCCUUGAUUUUCAUGGACCUCUACUUAGAGAGUAUCUUCUGUAUAUGUUAUUAAGGAACUAAACAUCUUCCAAGAUCUUUUGUUCUUGCAGUUGAGGAACUAUAUGUAAUAAUUAUUCUUCAUUUAAUAUAAGUCCAAAAGUGUUAUUGAUAAUUCUUUAGUUAUGCCUUUUAUUUGUUGUUUAUCUUCAAGGCUUCUGGCAAGUAAAAUAACAGCAUAUAAAAAAAAAUUAGAAUUGUGAAAUGAACAACAUAUUCUUAACUAUGAGGAUACAAGA